GGGGACUUGCAAGAGAAGUUGUGUGAUUUUUGGGAUAAAGGGGGAUUUUUGAAGAGAAAAUGUGUGUUUUUUGGAUGAAUCAGGGAUUUUUUGGAUACAUGGGGGAUCUUGUAGCAAAAAAGUUUGAUUUUGGGGUCAAACGGGGGAUUUUUGAAGAGCAGAAGUGUGAUUUUCACGUUAAAUGGGGGAUUUUCACGAGAAAAUGUUGAAUUUGGGGGAUAAUGGGGUAUUUUUGAAGAGAUAAUGCAUGAUUUUGGGGUAAAUGCGGGAUUUAGAAGAGAAAAGGCAAGAUGUUCGGGUUGAAUGGGGGACUUUGCAAGAGAAGUUGUGUGAUUUUGGGGAUAAAGGGGGAUUUUUUGAAGAGAAAUGUGUGAUUUUUGUUUAAAGGGGGUAUUUUGAGGGAAAAUGUGUGAUUUUAGUUAAAUUGUG
rnacentral:lncRNA from 7 species